GUACCCAUAGCCCAUGCCAAGUUGCUUGAAAUCUUGAAAGAAAGUACAACUUUCAACCACCACAUCCCACAAAUCCAUGGACCAUGAUCUAUACCACAAAAACAGCAGAUCUUUUCCUCAUUUUUCUGUCAUAUUGAAACCACUACUAGCUGCACAACACAACAGAACUCACUCAUGCUAAAAUCCUCAUUCUCCCUCAUUUGGCAUUUUCACAAAAAUUGCAAAUUCUAUUCAAAACAACAAGCAAC
rnacentral:lncRNA from 1 species